rnacentral:lncRNA from 1 species
GUCAAGUAUCUCUUCCUUCGACCAUGAGAGCGUGUAACUCCUGGAUACCGUAGGAGUGCUUUGGGUGUAUCAAACGUCACAACGUAACUGGGUGACUAUAAAGGUGCACUACAGGUAUCUCCGAAAGUAUCUAUUGUUUUAUGCGGAUCGAGACUGGGAUUUGUCACUCCGUGUAAACGGAGAGGUAUCUCUGGGCCCACUCGGUAGGACAUCAUCAUAUGCACAAUGUGACCAAGGAGUUGAUCACGGGAUGAUGUGUUACGGAACGAGUAAAGUGACUUGCCGGUAACGAGAUUGAACAAGGUAUUGGAUACCGACGAUCGAAUCUCGGGCAAGUAACAUACCGAUAGACAAAGGGAAUUGAAUACAGGAUUGAUUAAGUCCUUGACAUCGUGGUUCAUCCGAUGAGAUCAUCGUGGAACAUGUGGGAGCCAUCAUGGGUAUCCAGAUCCCGCUGUUGGUUAUUGACCGGAGAACGUCUCGGUCAUGUCUACAUGUCUCCCGAACCCGUAGGGUCUACACACUUAAGGUUCGAUGACGCUAGGGUUAUAAAGGAAGUUUGUAUGUGGUUACCGAAUGUUGUUCGGAGUCCCGGAUGAGAUCCCGGACGUCACGAGGAGUUCCGGAAUGGUCCGGAGGUAAAGAUUUAUAUAUGGGAAGUCCUAUUUUGGCCACCGGAAAAUGUUCGGGAUUUUUCGGUAUUGUACCGGGAAGGUUCUAGAAGGUUCCGGAGUGGGGCCCACCUGCAUGGGGGGACCCACAUGGACGUGGGUAGUGGGGGCAAAGCCCCACACCCCUGGUCAAGGCGCACCAAGAUCCCCCCUUAGAAGGAAUAAGAUCAUAUCCCAAAGGGAUAAGAUAAAGAUCCCUAAAAAGGGGGGAUAACAAUCGGUGGGGAAGGAAAUAAUGAGAUUUCUUUCCUCCCACCUUGGCCAACGCCCCAAUGGACUUGGAGGGCAAGAAACCAGCCCCUCCACCCCUAUAUAUAGUGGGGAGGCGCAUGGGAGCUAUACACGAAGUUCUGGCACAGCCCUACCUCUCUUCCUACUCCUCCUCUCCCAUGGUGCUUGGCGAAGCCCUGCUGGAUUGCCACGCUCCUCCACCACCACCACGCCGUUGUGCUGCUGUUGGAUGGAGUCUUCCUCAACCUCUCCCUCUCUCCUUGCUGGAUCAAGGUGUGGGAGACGUCACCGGGCUGUACGUGUGUUGAACGCGGAGGUGCCGUCCGUUCGGCACUAGGAUCAUCGGUGAUUUGAAUCACGACGAGUACGACUCCAUCAACCCCGUUCACUUGAAUGCUUCCGCUUAGCGAUCUACAAGGGUAUGUAGAUGCACUCUCUUUCUACUCGUUGCUGGUCUCUCCAUAGAUAGAUCUUGGUGACACGUAGGAAAAUUUUGAAUUUCUGCUACGUUCCCCAACAGGAACCCCCCGGGGGUUAUUGGGCCUACAUGGGCCAUGAGGGAGAAGAGGAGGGCUGGCCAGGGCAGGCCGCGCACCCCCUUCCCCCUAGUCCGAAUAGGACAAGGAAGGAGGGGGGGGGGGGGCGGCGCCCCCCUUUCCUCUUUUCCCUCCCCCCUUGCCUUCUCCACCAAGGCAAGAGGGGGGAGUCCUACUCCCGGUGGGAGUAGAACUCCUCCAGGCGCACCCCUAGGGGCCGGCCGCACCUCCCCCCUCCCUCCUUUAUAUGCGGGGGCAGAGGGGCACCUCUAGACACACAAGUUGAUCUUCGUGAUCGUUCCUUAGCCGUGUGCGGUGCCCCCCUCCACCAUAUUCCACCUCGGUCAUAUUGUUGCGGUGCUUAGGCGAAGCCCUGCGUCGGUAGAACAUCAUCAUCGUCACCAUGCCGUCGUGCUGACGGAACUCAUCCCCAACACCUUGCUGGAUCGGAGUCCGGGGAUCGUCAUCGAGCUGAACGUGUGCUGAACUCGAAGGUGCCGUACGUUCGGUGCUUGGAUCGGUCGGAUCGUGAAGACGUACAACUACAUCAACCACGUUGUCAUAACGCUUUCGCUUUCGGUCUACGAGGGUACGUGGACACACUCUCCCCUCUCGUUGCUAUGCAUCACCAUGAUCUUGCGUGUGCGUAGGAAUUUUUUUGAAAUUACUACGUUCCCCAAAGUGGCAUCCGAGCCUAGGUUUUAUGCGUUGAUGUUAUAUGCACGAGUAGAACAGAAGUGAGUUGUGGGCGAUACAAGUCAUACUGCUUACCAGCAUGUCAUACUUUGGUUCGGCGGUAUUGUUGGAUGAAGCGGCCCGGACCGACAUUACGCGUACGCUUGCGCGAGACUGGUUCUACCGACGUGCUUUGCACAAAGGUGGCUGGCGGGUGUCAGUUUCUCCAACUUUAGUUGAAUCGAGUGUGGCUACGCCCGGUCCUUGCGAAGGUUAAAACAGCACUAACUUGACAAACUAUCGUUGUGGUUUUGAUGCGUAGGUAAGAACGGUUCUUGCUCAGCCCGUAGCAGCCACGUAAAAUUUGCAACAACAAAGUAGAGGACGUCUAACUUGUUUUUGCAGGGCAUGUUGUGAUGUGAUAUGGUCAAGAUGUGAUGCUAUAUUUUAUUGUAUGAGAUGAUCAUGUUUUGUAACCGAAGUUAUCGGCAACUGGCAAGAGCCAUAUGGUUGUCGCUUUAUUGUAUGAAAUGCAAACGCCCUGUAUUUGCUUUACUUUAUCACUAAGCGGUAGCGAUAGUCGUAGAAGCAAUAGAUGGCGUAACGACAAUGAUGCUACGAUGGAGAUCAAGGUGUCGCGCCGGUGACGAUGGUGAUCACGACAGUGCUUCGAAGAUGGAGAUCACAAGCACAAGAUGAUGAUGGCCAUAUCAUAUCACUUAUAUUGAUUGCAUGUGAUGUUUAUCCUUUAUGCAUCUUAUCUUGCUUUGAUUGACGGUAGCAUUUUAAGAUGAUCUCUCACUAAAUAUUCAAGAAGUGUUCUCCCUGAGUAUGCACCGUUGUGAAAGUUCUUCGUGCUGAGACACCACGUGAUGAUCGGGUGUGAUAGGCUCUACGUUCAAAUACAACGGGUGCAAAACAACUGCACAUGCGAAAUACUGAGGUUAAACUUGACGAGCCUAGCAUAUACGGAUAUGGCCUCGGAACACAGAAACCGAAAGGUCGAGCGUGAAUCAUAUAGUAAAUAUGAUCAACAUAAUGAUGGUCACCAUUGAAAACUACUCCAUCUCACAUGAUGAUCGGACAUGGUUUAGUUGAUUUGGAUCACGUGAUCACUUAGAUGACUAGAGAGAUGUCUGUCUAAGUGGGAGCUCUUAAGUAAUAUGAUUAAUUGAACUUAAAUUUAUCAUGAACUUAGUACCUGAUAGUAUUUUGGUUGUCUAUGUUUGUUGUAGAUAGAUGGCUCGUGCUGUUGUUCCGUUGAAUUUUAAUGCGUUCCUUGAGAAAGCAAGGUUGAAAGAUGAUGGUAGCAAUUACACGGACUGGGUCCGUAACCUGAGGAUUAUCCUCAUUGCUGCACACAAGAAUUACGUCCUGGAAGCACCGCUGGGUUCCAGGCCUGCUGCAGAUGCAACUGAUGACGUUAAGAACGUCUGGCAAAGCAAAGCUGAUGACUACUCGAUAGUUCAGUGUGCCAUGCUUUAUGGUUUGGAACCGGGUCUUCAACGACGUUUUGAACGUCAUGGAGCAUAUGAGAUGUUCCAGGAGUUGAAGUUAAUAUUUCAAGCAAAUGCGCGUAUUGAGAGAUAUGAAGUCUCCAAUAAGUUCUAUAGCUGUAAGAUGGAGGAGAAUAGUUCUGUUAGUGAACACAUACUCAAAAUGUCUGGGUAUAAUAAUCACUUGAUUCAACUGGGAGUUAAUCUUCCUGAUGAUAGUGUCAUUGACAGAAUUCUUCAAUCACUGCCACCAAGCAACAAGAGCUUCAUGAUGAACUAUAAUAUGCAAGGGAUGGACAAGACUAUACCCGAGCUCUUCGCAAUGCUAAAGGCUGCGGAGAUAGAAAUCAAGAAGGAGCAUCAAGUGUUGAAGGUCAAUAAGACCACUAGUUUCAAGAAAAAGGGCAAAGGGAAGAAGAAGGGGAACUUCAAAAAGAACAGCAAACAAGUUGCUGCUCAAGAGAAGAAACCCAAGUCUGGACCUAAGCCUGAGACUGAGUGCUUCUACUGCAAGCAGACUGGACACUUGAAGCGGAACUGCCCCAAGUAUUUGGCGGAUAAGAAGGAUGGAAAAGUGAACAAAGGUAUAUGUGAUAUACAUGUUAUUGAUGUGUACCUUACUAAUGCUCGCAGUAGCACCUGGGUAUUUGAUACUGGUUCUGUUGCUAAUAUUUGCAACUCGAAACAGGGACUACGGAAUAGGCGAAGAUUGGCUAAGGACGAGGUGACGAUGCACGUGGGAAAUGGUUCUAAAGUCGAUGUGAUCGCGGUCGGCACGCUACCUCUACAUCUACCAUCUGGAUUAGUUUUAGACCUAAAUAAUUGUUAUUUUGUGCCAGCGUUGAGCAUGAACAUUAUAUCUGGAUCUUGUUUGAUGCGAGACGGUUAUUCAUUUAAAUCAUAGAAUAAUUGUUGUUCUAUUUAUAUGAGUAAUAUCUUUUAUGGUCAUGCACACUUACAGAAUGGUCUAUUUUUAUUAAGUCUCGAUAGUAGUGAUACACAUAUUCAUAAUGUUGAAGCCAAAAAGAUGCAGAGUUAAUAAUGAUAGUGCAACUUAUUUGUGGCACUGCCGUUUAGGUCAUAUCGGUGUAAAGCGCAUGAAGAAACUCCAUACUGAUGGACUUUUGGAAUCACUUGAUUAUGAAUCACUUGGUACUUGCGAACCGUGCCUCAUGGGCAAGAUGACUAAAACGCCGUUCUCCGGAACUAUGGAGCGAGCAACUGAUUUGUUGGAAAUCAUACAUACUGAUGUAUGUGGUCCAAUGAAUGUCGAAGCUCGCGGCAGGUAUCAUUAUUUUCUCACCUUCACAGAUGAUUUGAGCAGAUAUGGGUAUAUCUACUUAAUGAAACACAAGUCUGAAACAUUUGAAAAGUUCAAAGAAUUUCAGAGUGAAGUAGAAAAUCAUCGUAACAAGAAAAUAAAAUUUCUACGAUCUGAUCGUGGAGGAGAGUAUUUGAGUUACGAGUUUGGUUUACAUUUGAAACAAUGCGGAAUAGUUUCGCAACUCAUGCCACCCGGAACACCACAACGAAAUGGUGUGUCCGAACGUCGUAAUCAUACUUUACUGGAUAUGGUAUGAUCUAUGAUGUCUCUUACUGAUUUACCGCUAUCAUUUUGGGGUUAUGCUUUAGAGACGGCCGCAUUCACAUUAAAUAGGGCACCAUCAAAAUCUGUUGAGACGACGCCUUAUGAACUGUGGUUUGGCAAGAAACCAAAGUUGUCGUUUCUUAAAGUUUGGGGCUGCGAUGCUUAUGUGAAGAAACUUCAACCAGAUAAGCUCGAACCCAAAUUGGAGAAAUGUGUCUUCAUAGGAUACCCAAAAGAGACUAUUGGGUACACCUUCUAUCACAGAUCUGAGGGCAAGAUUUUCGUUGCUAAAUUCGGAUCCUUUCUAGAGAAGGAGUUUCUCUCGAAAGAAGUGAGUGGGAGGAAAGUAUAACUUGAUGAGGUAACUGUACCUGCUCCCUCAUUGGAAAAUAGUUCAUCACAAGAACCGGUUCCUGUGACAACUACACCAAUUAGUGAUGAAGCUAAUGAUACUGAUCAUGAAUCUUCAGAUCUAGUUUCUACUGAACCUCGUAGGUCUACCAGAGUUAGAUCCGCACCAGAGUGGUACGGUAAUCCUAUUCUGAAAGUCAUGUUACUUGACCAUGGCGAACCUGUAAACUAUAAGGAAGCGAAUGAGCCCAGAUUCCGCAAAAUGGCUUGAAGCCAUGAAAUCUGAGAUAGGAUCCAUGUAUGAGAACAAAGUAUGGACUUUGGUUGACUUGCCCGAUGAUCGGCAAGCUAUUGAGAAUAAAUGGAUCUUCAAGAAGAAGACUGACGCUGAUGGUAAUAUAACUAUCUACAAAGCUCGACUUGUUGCAAAAGGUUUUCGACAAGUUCAAGGGGUUGACUACGAUGAGACUUUCUCACCCGUAGUGAUGCUUAAGUCUGUCCAAAUCAUGUUAGCAAUUGCCGCAUUUUAUGAUUAUGAAAUUUGGCAAAUGGAUGUAAAAACUGCAUUCCUGAAUGGUUUUCUGGAAGAAGAGUUGUAUAUGAUGCAACCGGAAGGUUUUGUCGAUCCAAAAGGUGCUAACAAAGUGUGCAAGCUCCAGCGAUCCAUUUAUGGACCGGUGCAAGCAUCUCGGAGUUGGAAUAAACGCUUUGAUAGUGUGAUCAAAGCAUAUGGUUUUAUACAGACUUUUGGAGAAGCCUGUAUUUACAAGAAAGUGAGUGGGAGCUCUGUAGCAUUUCUGAUAUUAUAUGUAGAUGACAUAUUGUUAAUUGGAAAUGAUAUAGAAUUUCUGGAUAGCAUAAAGGGAUACUUGAAUAAAAGUUUUUCAAUGAAAGACCUCGGUGAAGCUGCUUACAUAUUGGGCAUCAAGAUUUAUAGAGAUAGAUCAAGACGUUUAACUGGACUUUCACAAAGCACAUACCUUGAUAAAGUUUUGAAAAAGUUUAAAAUGGAUCAGGCAAAGAAAGGGUUCUUGCCUGUAUUGCAAGGUGUGAAGUUGAGUCAGACUCAAUGCCCGACCACAGCAGAAGAUAGAGAGAAAAUGAAAGAUGUUCCCUAUGCUUCAGCCAUAGGCUCUAUCAUAUAUGCAAUGUUGUGUACCAGACCUGAUGUAUGCUUAGCAAUAAGUUUAGCAGGGAGGUACCAAAGUAAUUCAGGAGUGGAUCAAUGGACAGCGGUCAAGAACAUCCUGAAAUACCUGAAAAGGACUAAGGAUAUGUUUCUCGUUUAUGGAGGUGACAAAGAGCUAGUCAUAAAUGGUUACGUCGAUGCAAGCUUUGACACUGAUCCGAACGAUUCUAAAUUGCAAACCGGAUACGUGUUUUUAUUAAACGGUGGAGCUGUAAGUUGGUGCAGUUCUAAACAAAGCGUCAUGGCGGGAUCUACAUGCGAAACGGAAUACAUAGCUGUUUCGGAAGCAGGAAAUGAAGGAGUCUGGAUGAAGGAGUUCAUUUCCGAUCUAGGUGUCAUACCUAGUGCAUCGGGACCAAUGAAGAUCUUCCGUGACAAUACUGGUGCAAUUGCCUUAGCAAAGGAAUCCAGAUUUCACAAGAGGACCAAGCACAUCAAGAGACGCUUCAAUUCCAUCCGGGACCAAGUCAAGGUGGGAGACAUAGAGAUUUGCAAGAUACAUACGGAUCUGAAUGUAGCAGACCCGUUGACUAAGCCUCUUCCACGAGCAAAACAUGAUCAGCACCAAGGCUCCAUGGGUGUUAGAAUCAUUACUGUGUAAUCUAAAUUAUUGACUCUAGUGCAAGUGGGAGACUGAAGGAAAUAUGCCCUAGAGGCAAUAAUAAAGUUAUUAUUUAUUUCCUCAUAUCAUGAUAAAUGUUUAUUAUUCAUGCUAGAAUUGUAUUAACCGGAAACAUGAUACACGUGUGAAUACAUAGAGAAACUAUAUGUCACUAGUAUGCCUCUACUUGACUAGCUCAUUAAUCAAAGAUGGUUAUGUUUCCUAACCAUAGACAUGUGAUAUCAUUUGAUUAAAGAGAUCACAUCAUUAGGAGAAUGAUGUGAUUGACAUGACCCAUUCCGUUAGCCUAGCACUUGAUCGUUUAGUAUGUUGCUAUUGCUUUCUUCAUGACUUAUACAAAGUUCCUACAACUAUGAGAUUAUGCAACUCCCGUUUACCGGAGGAACACUUUGUGUGCUACCAAACGUCACAACGUAACUGAGUGAUUAUAAAUGAGCUCUACAGGUGUCUCCAAAGAUAUAUGUUGAGUUGGCGUAUUUCGAGAUUAGGUUUUGUCACUCCGAUUAUCGGAGAGGUAUCUCUGGGCCCUCUCGGUAAUGCACAUCACUAUAAGCCUUGCAAGCAAUGUAGCUAAUGAGUUGGUUACGGAAUGAUGCAUUACGUAACGAGUAAAGAGACUUGCCAGUAACGAGAUUGAACUAGGUAUUAGAUACCGACGAUCGAAUCUCGGGCAAGUAACAUGCCGAUGACAAAGGGAACAACGUAUGUUGUUAUGCGGUUUGACCGAUAAAGAUCUUCGUAGAAUAUGUGGGAGCCAAUAUGAGCAUCCAGGUUCCGCUAUUGGUUAUUGACCGAGAAUAGUUCUAGGUCAUGUCUACAUAGUUCUCGAACCCGAAGUGUCCGCACGCUUAACGUUACGAUGACAGUUUUAUUAUGAGUUUAUAUGUUUUGAUGAACCGAAGGUUGUUCGGAGGCCCGGAUGUGAUCCCGGACAUGACGAGGAGUCUCGAAAUGGUCAAGACAUAAAGAUUGAUAUAUUGGAAGCCUAUAUUUGGAUAUCGGAAUUGUUCCGGGAGAAACCGGGAUUUUUCUGGAGUACCGGGGGGUUACCGGAACCCCCCCCGGGGGUUAUUGGGCCUACAUGGGCCAUGAGGGAGAAGAGGAGGGCCGGCCAGGGCAGGCCGCGCAACCCCUCCCCCCUAGUCCGAAUAGGACAAGGAAGGAGGGGGGGGGCGCUCCCCUUUCCUCUUUCCCCUCCCCCCUUUCCUUCUCCACCAAGGCAAGAGGGGGGAGUCCUACUCCCGGUGGGAGUAGGACUCCUCCAGGCGCACCCCUAGGGGGCCGGCCGCACCUCCCCCUCCCUCCUUUAUAUACGGGGACAGGGGGGCACCUCUAGACACACAAGUUGAUCUUCGUGAUCGUUCCUUAGCCGUGUGCGGUGCCCCCCUCCACCAUAUUCCACCUCGGUCAUAUUGUUGCGGUGCUUAGGCGAAGCCCUGUGUCGGUAGAACAUCAUCAUCGUCACCACGCCGUCGUGCUGACGGAACUCAUCCCCGACACCCUGCUGGAUCGGAGUCCGGGGAUCGUCAUCGAGCUGAACGUGUGCUGAACUCGGAGGUGCCGUACGUUCGGUGCUUGGAUCGGUCGGAUCGUGAAGACGUACGACUACAUCAACCGUGUUGUCAUAACGCUUCCGCUUUCGGUCUACGAGGGUACGUGAACACACUCUCCCCUCUCGUUGCUAUGCAUCACCAUGAUCUUGCGUGUGUGUAGGAAUUUUUUUGAAAUUACUACGUUCCCCAACAUCUGGACCAUUGAUGUCAUGGAGAUUGAAACUCCCGUUGUAUGUAGCAUAUGUAUUGGGCAGAAGCUUGUACGUGUGGGAUCAACAUUUGGUGGGGGGGGGAUCGAAUAUUUUGACCAACAAGUUACAAAACUUACUAAACAAUUUUAAAUUUUAGAGAAAAAUUUAUCGUAUUGGGAAGAAGCAUAUACAUGUGGGUUCCACCAUAUUUGGGGGAAAUGGAGAUAUAUUCAUGGACAAGUUAACAAACUCACAAAAUAAAUGUAAGUUCAAAGCAGUUUUUGUUGUUAACCAUCUGAGUUUCAGAUAUCUUACCAUUCGUCUUUUUCAAAGCAUAUACACAUAGGAGGUUAACUCGAUCAGGGGCAAAGCUAGGGCCGAGCGUGGGAUUUCUUCAGUCAUCACCUUUAUUCAUUUGGCUUGGCCAUACUUCUUGAAGUUUUCCUUGAGGUUCUUCAUGUAGGUCUCUUGCUCUUGUGGCUCACAUACUCUUCAUAUUUUAUAACAUGCAUGUCCAUUCACAAGCAAAACAUGGCAUCAAGCACCUUCAACACCUUGCUUUCAUUCUUCUUUGUUCUUUGAUGACCUGCAAGUGCACAUGAUUGUUGUAGCACUUUCGUGAUAUAUGAAGUAUCCAACCCACAUGGAGCGAAUGGGAAGGCGCCACAAACCCCGCAACUACGUCUUCACUUAACGCACUUCUGUAGGCACUCAAAUCGGACUUUGAAAAUAGUCUACUUCAGUUAGUAAUUUAGUAUGCUGGAAGACAAAUAAAGAGGGGUGUUUACUAAACUAAGAACGGAAAAUAGAGAUAGAAAAUUAGAGGGACUAAACUAUUUUAAAUGGUGCUUGAGUAGUAAAUGUUCUCGAGGGAUUCGAAGUCAUCCCCACAAGUAUGAUGCUCACAACACAUGAUAGACAUGGCUCUAUAUUGUAUCACUAAGCCACUUUAUAUGAUCUCACAUGGGGGAGCCAAUAAAGUACACAUCCCCACACCAGUUACUGCGUACCCUCGUGCCACCACCGUGCUUCCUCAUCCCGGUUGGCACAACGAUGAUUAAGGGGAGGGGUCUCCCCGUGGUCACGACAUUAAGUUUGGUGGUUCUCCACUAAUCCCUGGUGCAAUGAUCAGGGACGAAGGGAGUUGAGCGAAAGUAGAAGGAAAAGACCACAUGAGACAUGAUACAUGUGAUAAUCCAAACAAAUUCAAAGAAAAAAGUAGAAGGAAAAGCUGAGGAUUCAUGUGUUUUUGAGUGUUUCAUCUCCGAAUUCAUCUCUGUUCCCCGAACUCCCUGGCCCCUCCUCCCCCUUCUACACCACCAGCAGUCUUGACUCUUGAUCGUCUUCGACUUGCCACUCCCGGUAACCUAAUUCCCGAAUCAUGCCUCUGCCGCCGUCCAGAUCCAUGGUGCUCUCCCCGAUCUCCUUCCGCCUCCCCAGCCCGAUGGAUCCUUACGUCGCCGGCGGCACCACCCGACGCUCCGGCCGCCCCGAUUGGGUCUUACUCCACAAGUCGGCGCGUAUCUCGGGACACCGGAACGCGACCACCGCCGGCUGCCACACGACACAGGGCCACCCCAUCGAGGUUUCCUUCUGGCUCGUCGACCCGCCGGGAGUCUCCUACUUCUCCGUCCACUGCCCCGGCCUCAACAAGGACUUCCACGACGAGCCCUACAUCCUCUGCGCCGAGGCCGCCCUUGUCCUCUUCAGCGUCACCUUUGUCCCCCUCCCUGGCCGGAGACCCACCCAGCACUUCGUCUACAGAGCCGGCGCGGGGGCGCCGUCGCUGGAGCUGAUUCCGGACCCGGACAAGAUCAGAAGAGGCGAUCGAUUUGGCUUCUUGCCCUGCGGUGGUGAUUCCGAGCACUAUGCCGUGGUCUUCCUCAACAGGAAAUUUGCCUAUAACAAGCCUUGCCGUUUCGACCUUCACAUCUUCUCGUCGGCGACGCGGGCGUGGAGCAGCAAGGUGCCCUUAUCUUGCUUAUCGGAGGAUGAUCAGGCAUUGCUGCUUAGCCAUGGCACCUGCAAGUCGGUCAUGGUCGGAGAUGGCUCGGUGGGCUGGGUCGAUCUCUUCAGCGGCAUCCUCCUCCUGUGCGAUGUGUUUGGUGAGUGCCCUGUGGUAAGUACAUCACCUUGCCCGCAUCAAGGAUUCGCCAGACGGACGAGCGUGGCCUCCCUUACUUUGCCUCGGAAUACUGCUGCGACGUGUCCUGCUGCGACGACGGUCUGAUCAAGUUUGUCGAGAUAGACUUCGAUGAACCGGACCGCAGGAACAGAGGCAACCAAGGCUGGAGAGCCAUCAUAUGGGACAGGAUGAUAA